UACCGUAUGGUUGCAUAAUAUUUUAAAGGUCUAAGUAAUUUAGUCAAUCGUGCGUAGUGAGUCCAAAAAUGAAGUUUAGGUGUAAGAUGAGUAUUAAAAAUUUUCACAUACAGUAGAUGAUGUUUUGAAACAGUAGUGUUUAACUCAGAUAGUGUGUGGUCAUUUUGACAGGUAUUGGAGGUCAUCAGUGUUAUUGUGCGAUGUAGUAAAUAUAACUGCCAUGCCUCGUUGUCACCUGGUCAGAAAAAAAUUCUUGCAUAAAACGCUACGUCUACAUGGACUGUGUUACUUCGAAAAAAUCCCAUCAUUCAUCGUGGAGCCGUCGACGAAACCACAGUCGCAGUUGUGAGAACUGAAGCUACGGAGAGUCGGGUAUAAGUAGCACGAAUAUCUUUUCCUUGCUUACGUCAAACAAAGAUGGGAAGAAUUAUUGGCAUGGCGAUAUAAUCAUUACAAAAUGUAUGUUCAUACCAAUGAUUUAUGUCCAUCACCAUCUGAGUUUAACCGCUGCAAUGCCAUGGCAUUCCUUCCUGCAGCGCACCAAUAGGCUGAGAUUAAAGAUCCGGCUAGCAUCCACGACAAUCGUCGAUUGUAACUCAGCCUCCCAGAUUAUGUAAUGAGACUGAAAAUCAUUUACCAGAAUUUGUGGCAUGAUUCAUGAUUAAUUACAAAGACCAUUAAAAUAAUAAUACAA